GAUGAACGCUGGCGGCGUGCCUAAUACAUGCAAGUCGAGCGAACGGACGAGAAGCUUGCUUCUCUGAUGUUAGCGGCGGACGGGUGAGUAACACGUGGAUAACCUACCUAUAAGACUGGGAUAACUUCGGGAAACCGGAGCUAAUACCGGAUAAUAUUUUGAACCGCAUGGUUCAAAAGUGAAAGACGGUCUUGCUGUCACUAAUGAUGGAUCCGCGCUGCAUUAGCUAGUUGGUAAGGUAACGGCUUACCAAGGCAACGAUGCAUAGCCGACCUGAGAGGGUGAUCGGCCACACUGGAACUGAGACACGGUCCAGACUCCUACGGGAGGCAGCAGUAGGGAAUCUUCCGCAAUGGGCGAAAGCCUGACGGAGCAACGCCGCGUGAGUGAUGAAGGUCUUCGGAUCGUAAAACUCUGUUAUUAGGGAAGAACAUAUGUGUAAGUAACUGUGCACAUCUUGACGGUACCUAAUCAGAAAGCCACGGCUAACUACGUG
rnacentral:rRNA from 1 species